rnacentral:rRNA from 1 species
GUAGGCGGCUUAUUAAGCAAGGUGUGAAAUCGUACGGCUCAACCGUACACACAUACUUUGAACUGGUAAGCUAGAGUAUGGGAGAGGUUAUUGGAAUUCCAAGUGUAGGAGUGAAAUCCGUAAAUAUUUGGAGGAACACCGAUGGCGUAGGCAGAUAACUGGCCCAUUACUGACGCUCAGGCACGAAAGCGUGGGUAGCAAACGGGAUUAGAUACCCCGGUAGUCCACGCCCUAAACUAUGGAUGCCAGCUGUUGGUCGUAUCGACCCGAUCAGUAGCGAAGCUAACGCGUUAAGCAUCCCGCCUGUGGAGUACGGUCGCAAGACUAAAACAUAAAGGAAUUGACGGGGACCCGCACAAGCGGUGGAGUGUGUUGUUUAAUUCGAUGGUAAACGAAGAACCUUACCCAGACUUGACACCCUUGGAAGGACUACGAAAGUAGACUGUGCCCUUGGGAGCCAAGUGACAGGUGUUGCAUGGCCGUCGUCAGCUCGUGUCGUGAGAUGUUAGGUUAAGUCCUUCAACGAGCGCAACCCUUGUAGUUAGUUGUAUUUUUCUAGCUAGACUGCCCUGGUAACAGGGAGGAAGGAGGGGAUGAUGUCAGGUCAGUAUUACCCUUACGUCUGGGGCUACAAACACGCUACAAUGGCCGGUACAAAGGGAAGCCAACCCGCGAGGGGGAGCAAAUCCCAUCAAAGCCGGUCUCAGUUCGGAUUGCAGGCUGAAACUCGCCUGCAUGAGGCUGGAAUCGCUAGUAACGGUAAGUCAGCAGAUUACCGUGAAUACGUUCCCGGGUCUUGUACACACCGCCCGUCAAACCAUGAAAGUCGCCAAUACCUGACGUCCUAGCUUGUCUAGGCCUAAGGUAGGGGAGAUGAUUGGGGUU